rnacentral:rRNA from 1 species
UACGUAGGGUGCAAGCGUUGUCCGGAAUUAUUGGGCGUAAAGAGCUCGUAGGCGGUCUGUCGCGUCGGCUGUGAAAACCCGGAGCUCAACUCCGGGCCUGCAGUCGAUACGGGCAGACUGGAGUUCGGCAGGGGAGACUGGAAUUCCUGGUGUAGCGGUGAAAUGCGCAGAUAUCAGAGGAACACCGGUGGCGAAGGCGGGUCUCUGGGCCGAUACUGACGCUGAGGAGCGAAAGCGUGGGGAGCGAACAGG